rnacentral:rRNA from 1 species
UACGUAGGGUGCAAGCGUUAAUCGGAAUUACUGGGCGUAAAGCGUGCGCAGGCGGUUAUGUAAGACAGAUGUGAAAUGCCCGGGCUUAACCUGGGAACUGCAUUUGUGACUGCAUGGCUAGAGUGUGUCAGAGGGGGGUAGAAUUCCACGUGUAGCAGUGAAAUGCGUAGAUAUGUGGAGGAACACCGAUGGCCGAAGGCAGCCCCCUGGGCUAGCACUGACGCUCAGGCACGGAAAGCGUGGGGAGCAAACAGG